UACGGAGGGAGCUAGCGUUAUUCGGAAUUACUGGGCGUAAAGCGUACGUAGGCGGCUUUGUAAGUUAGAGGUGAAAGCCUGGAGCUCAACUCCAGAAUUGCCUUUAAGACUGCAUCGCUUGAAUCCAGGAGAGGUGAGUGGAAUUCCGAGUGUAGAGGUGAAAUUCGUAGAUAUUCGGAAGAACACCAGUGGCGAAGGCGGCUCACUGGACUGGUAUUGACGCUGAGGUACGAAAGCGUGGGGAGCAAACAGG
rnacentral:rRNA from 2 species